rnacentral:rRNA from 1 species
GAGAGGAGCUUGCUCUUCUUGGAUGAGUUGCGAACGGGUGAGUAACGCGUAGGUAACCUGCCUUGUAGCGGGGGAUAACUAUUGGAAACGAUAGCUAAUACCGCAUAACAAUGGAUGACACAUGUCAUUUAUUUGAAAGGGGCAAUUGCUCCACUACAAGAUGGACCUGCGUUGUAUUAGCUAGUAGGUGAGGUAAUGGCUCACCUAGGCGACGAUACAUAGCCGACCUGAGAGGGUGAUCGGCCACACUGGGACUGAGACACGGCCCAGACUCCUACGGGAGGCAGCAGUAGGGAAUCUUCGGCAAUGGGGGCAACCCUGACCGAGCAACGCCGCGUGAGUGAAGAAGGUUUUCGGAUCGUAAAGCUCUGUUGUAAGUCAAGAACGGGUGUGAGAGUGGAAAGUUCACACUGUGACGGUAGCUUACCAGAAAGGGACGGCUAACUACGUGCCAGCAGCCGCGGUAAUACGUAGGUCCCGAGCGUUGUCCGGAUUUAUUGGGCGUAAAGCGAGCGCAGGCGGUUUGAUAAGUCUGAAGUUAAAGGCUGUGGCUCAACCAUAGUUCGCUUUGGAAACUGUCAAACUUGAGUGCAGAAGGGGAGAGUGGAAUUCCAUGUGUAGCGGUGAAAUGCGUAGAUAUAUGGAGGAACACCGGUGGCGAAAGCGGCUCUCUGGUCUGUAACUGACGCUGAGGCUCGAAAGCGUGGGGAGCGAACAGGAUUAGAUACCCUGGUAGUCCACGCCGUAAACGAUGAGUGCUAGGUGUUGGAUCCUUUCCGGGAUUCAGUGCCGCAGCUAACGCAUUAAGCACUCCGCCUGGGGAGUACGACCGCAAGGUUGAAACUCAAAGGAAUUGACGGGGGCCCGCACAAGCGGUGGAGCAUGUGGUUUAAUUCGAAGCAACGCGAAGAACCUUACCAGGUCUUGACAUCCCGAUGCUAUUUCUAGAGAUAGAAAGUUACUUCGGUACAUCGGUGACAGGUGGUGCAUGGUUGUCGUCAGCUCGUGUCGUGAGAUGUUGGGUUAAGUCCCGCAACGAGCGCAACCCCUAUUGUUAGUUGCCAUCAUUCAGUUGGGCACUCUAGCGAGACUGCCGGUAAUAAACCGGAGGAAGGUGGGGAUGACGUCAAAUCAUCAUGCCCCUUAUGACCUGGGCUACACACGUGCUACAAUGGUUGGUACAACGAGUUGCGAGUCGGUGACGGCGAGCUAAUCUCUUAAAGCCAAUCUCAGUUCGGAUUGUAGGCUGCAACUCGCCUACAUGAAGUCGGAAUCGCUAGUAAUCGCGGAUCAGCACGCCGCGGUGAAUACGUUCCCGGGCCUUGUACACACCGCCCGUCACACCACGAGAGUUUGUAACACCCGAAGUCGGUGAGGUAAC